rnacentral:rRNA from 1 species
GACGAACGCUGGCGGCGUGCUUAACACAUGCAAGUCGAACGGAAAGGCCUUGCUUUUGUGGGGUGCUCGAGUGUCGAACGGGUGAUUAACACGUGAUUAACCUGCCCUUGACUUUGGGAUAACUUCAGGAAACUGGGGCUAAUACCGGAUAGGUGCUCCUGCUUCAUGGUGGGGGUUGGAAAGUUUCGGCGGUUGGGGAUGGACUCGCGUCUUAUCAGCUUGCUGGUGGGGUAGUGGCUUACCAAGGCUUUGACGGGUAGCCGGACUGAGAGGGUGACAGGCCACAUUGGGACUGAGAUACGGCCCAGACUCCUACGGGAGGCAGAAGUGGGGAAUAGUGAACAAGGGGCGGAAGCCUGAUGCAGCAACGCCGCGUGCGGGAUGACGGCAUUGGGGUUGUAAACCGCUUUCGCCUGUGACGAAGCGUGAGUGACGGUAAUGGGUAAAGAAGCACCGGCUAACUACGUG